UACGGGGGGUGCUAGCGUUGUUCGGAAUCACUGGGCGUAAAGGGCGUGUAGGCGGCAUGGUAAGUCGGAUGUGAAAUCCCAUGGCUUAACUGUGGAAGUGCAUUCGAAACUGCCAAGCUAGAGUGCGGGAGAGGGAAGGGGAAUUCCGGGUGUAGAGGUGAAAUUCGUAGAUAUCCGGAGGAAUACCGGUGGCGAAGGCGCCUUCCUGGACCGACACUGACGCUGAGACGCGAAAGCGUGGGGAG
rnacentral:rRNA from 1 species